GACGUAGGGCGCGAGCGUUGUCCGGAUUUAUUGGGCGUAAAGAGCUCGUAGGCGGCUUGUCGCGUCGACUGUGAAAACCCGCGGCUCAACUGCGGGCCUGCAGCCGAUACGGGCAGGCUAGAGUUCGGUAGGGGAGACUGGAAUUCCUGGUGUAGCGGUGAAAUGCGCAGAUAGUCGGGAGGAACACCGGUGGCGAAGGCGGCACUCUGGGCCAGUACUGACACUGAGGAGCGAAAGCGUGGGGAGCGAACAGG
rnacentral:rRNA from 1 species